AUGUAUCUGAGAAAAUCAAAAUAUGCACCUCAGCUCUCAGAACUACAUGGAGAAAAACAAAAACAAAGUGUAUUCAUGCACCUGCUGCCUUUUGAUGGUGAGAAGUACAGACCAAACAAGUGGAUUUUAACACUUGUAUGCCAUCCAGCUGGUCAUUUGAUGCUGAAAAGAGCAGCAAGCAACAUGAGAAAGGGCUUGACUUGUACCGAAGUUUUAGAAAUGAUUAUGCAGCCUGAGCCCUCCAGCGAGCUGCAGGAUGUAUUGUCUUCUCCCUCUGACACCACAGACUCAGGAGAGUCAGAUCCUGAUUUUGUUGUGGCACCCUCAUCAUCCUCUCCAGCUUCCACUGAAGGUGAGCAGGAUUCAGAGGAUCCUGGAUCUGGGUGGAUUGGGAGAAACGGCAAAGUGUGGUUUUCCACUAACGUAGAGACAACUCCCUUUCUUCAGCCUGCCAGAGACGUGACUCCAGGUUCUUGAUGGUAAAGCCAGUUUAAAACCUUAAAAUCUUUCAGUGAUACACUUUUCCAUUUUUUCUGUAAAAAAUCUACUUUGCAUCAGAUUUAUGAACAUAAUUUAUUAUGAACCAAAAUGCAACAACAACUUCAAAUAAACUGCAGCUCGCUGGAGGGGUCAGGCUACAUAAUAAUUUCUAAAACUCUGGUACAACUCAAGCACUUUCUCGUGUUGCUUGCUGCUCUUCUCACCAUCAAAUGACCAGCAGGAUGGCAUGCAAGUGUUUAAAUCCACGUACCUUGUUUUUGUUAGGUUUGUACUUUUCACCACCAUCAAAAGGCAGCAGGUGCAUAACUACACUUACUUUGUUAUUGUUUACUCCUUGUAGUUCUGAGAGCUGAGGUGCAUAUUUUGAUUUUCUCAGAUACAUCAAGGUAAGUGCGCAAAGAUCUCUCUCACACACUAUAAUAUGCUGUUAUACUCCAUAUAACUCCAUAUACCAUCCAGAAACUAAGCUUUUUUUUUUUUUUUUGCACAGGCCUAUCUAAAGGGUAAAUGGUGUCACCUAGUCAUUGAAGAUAAUAACUUCACUCUAUUAAGUAGAGUACUGUUGCCUGCAGACAGUUAUACAUACAUAAGUGAAGCCUGGCACUCAACAUCAUGGCUUGACCAUUGUUUUAGUACAGCUGAUG
ensembl:lncRNA